rnacentral:rRNA from 1 species
UACGAAGGGGGCUAGCGUUGUUCGGAUUUACUGGGCGUAAAGCGCGUGUAGGCUGCUUCGCAAGUCGGAUGUGAAAGCCCUGGGCUCAACCCAGGAAGUGCAUUCGAAACUGCAGAGCUGGAGUCCUGGAGAGGAAGGCGGAAUUCUCGGUGUAGAGGUGAAAUUCGUAGAUAUCGAGAGGAACACCGGUGGCGAAGGCGGCCUUCUGGACAGUGACUGACGCUGAGACGCGAAAGCGUGGGGAGCAAACAGG